AUUACAGAACAUUGUUGUUUGCUUUUUUUUCCGACUAGAGUGCGUUUUAUCGUCAAGCUUAAAGCUUAUAGGAAAACAACUCGAACUAUAUUGGUAAACAGAAGUAAUGCUUAUGUGUUUAAGGGGUUAAAACAUGACAAAGCCGGGACUCUGUGUGAGAAUUGGCCUUCAUGCUCUUAUAGAAUAUGCCUCGGGUUGUUAUGGGACACUUGUGCAAUCUUCGCCAACUUUACAUUUAAAAUGUCAUCUUAUAGAAAGUCAUAUGCCCAGUUUGUGACGUGAACGCGCCAGCGGUUCAAAGAGACGCUAUAAAAUUUAACAAAGCUUAUAAAGGCAAACCAGUAAUUUUACCCAGUAUUCUAAUUUCUGUCAUACAAAGUAAAAGCACACAUAUAGUAUUUAUAAUGUAUAGUCGUUUUUAGACGGGAGGCUAGGUGCGUGUGGGAAAGGGGAAAGAAAUGUAGAAAUGCUUUUAUGUCAAAAGAUGGCAAUCAAAAACCUCCAAAUAAUUGCAGAAUUUCAAACCGUCAUGGCAGGUUUUUGUCAACAUACAUACAAAUGGUCGUUCACUGGGGAACACCAGAAAACUUACUCGCCUACUGGUAGGAAAAAGGUAGGGAGGAGAGAGCUCGUACAAUCACCAGUUGGUACCUGAGGUUGCUCUUACCACAAGUUUGUGACAAGUAGUACUUGAAAAAGUUUUUUUUGUUGUGUGUCAGAAUCUGGAUGCUUUAAAGAAACCAAACAAAGGAUAUUAAGCAUACAAAAGUUCAAAGACAUCCAAGUGAGCGCAAAUGAGGGGUAAAUUACAAGAAUAGAAAAUAAUGAUACGAACUGAAAAAAAUGCCAUGCAUGCAAAUGAAAAUUCUUCCCAUACUUUGUAUGAUAACAUUCCACAAACUUAAUGAUAUUGCUAUUUGAUUCAUUUUGCAAAAACUAAAUGUCUUUAUUCCAAUAUACUAACAAAAGUAAUAAAUGUUUGUAAACACUUCAUUCUUAAUUUAUUUUGAAUAAUUUACAGGUUUACAAUAAGUUGCCUUAACAAAACUACUGCCAAUGACACUACAGCUCGUACUGAGCUGUACUAAAGUAACUAAUAGUCAUGUGUAACCUUAAGCAGAGAAAAGAAAAUGCAUUUGGAUAUUCUCGGCUACAUUCGUUAACAAAAACAAUGGUGUUUGGUGAAUUUUGAUGGUGUUUGAAAAUGUAUGUUGUUUUAACAAUUCGGAACGUGAUUAUUUUAUAAUAUAUAUUGCAAUUGAUGUAAAAAGGAUUACUUUUAACAGAUUCUGGACAUGACAUAUAACUUGACUGAAAUGUUGGCUACACAUUUGGGUCAUGAUCCCAGAACUCAUAAAGAAAAUUAAAGGUUGACCCCCUCCACAAGAGAAUUAUCCCUGACUUGAUCCUGAAGACGAAAUUCUGAGGGAUGCAACAGCUAAUGCUCUUCCCAUGAAACAAAGUGGCUCUGCUCCAAAUGAUCAAAGUAGCUCCGCCUGUGGUAAAAAGAAGAGAUGGUCCCAUUCUGAACAGACUAUGCUGCAGGAAUAAAAUCCAUAGAUGUCUUAGGGGAAAUUGACAAGUGCAUAAAACAGACUUAAUCCAUUGUCAAAACAUUUGUGCCAAACUAUACAAAAGAUCUUUGGCUCACACUAGAACAAAACUCAAUAACAUGAAACUAGAUGAAUCUUGUUAGAUAAGGAUACAUUAUGUAAAGGUGAAAAGCAAUAUGUAGCACCACUCAAUGUAUAGUUUUGUUCUUAGUACAAAAUUUCUAAUCAAAAGUAACAUAUCUGAACUUUGGGAAUCAUUAUCGUUUUGAGGACACCAAAUAUUGUUCAGUCUGACUUGUUAUCAUUAGUUUAUAGUGGUUUGCAAAAGGAUCACACAUAACACUAAGCUAUAUUAAACAAAUACAAGGAUCUUUUUGAGUGCAAUUUUGACUCAAUUUUAAUAUUUGUUUUAUGUUUAAUGCUGUUUUCCCUAUCUGUGGAGGCUGUACAAACAGGCUGAAAAUGUAGUUAUCUGUUGAUAGAACUGAUACAAUUAUUGUCUGUUAAACUUUAUAGGACUAAGUUUGAUAUCAAGACUGGUAAAAGGAGUAACUCAAUGAAUGUUUUAGCUCACCUUAGCCGUAGGUUGUGGGUGAGCUAUGAGGAUCGAUGAAUGUCCCUCAUCUGACGUCCGUCGUCAUCCAUACUUACUAACUUAGUUUGUUUACACUCUAGUGGUCACAUUUUUGCCUCAAUUGUCACGAAACAUGGUCAGGAUAUUUGUCCCAGUAAUUACUGUGACGUAAUCUGAAUAUGGGUCAUCUGGGAUGAAAAACUAGGUCACAUGACCCAAAAAUAGAAAAAUAAGUCUUGUUGACACUCUAAAGGCUACAUUUUUAGUCCAUAUAUAUUUUAUCAUGGAAAUUUGUCAGAAAGGUUGUUUCGAUGAUUUCUAGCUUAAUUUGAAUAUGGGUCAUCUGGGUCAAAAACUAGGUCACCGAGCUCAAAUAUGGAAAAACCAUGUUAACACUCUAGAGGUACAAUAUAACAUUUUCAACCCAAAUAUCCUGGAAAUUUGUCAGAAAGGUUGUCUUGAUAAUUUUUAAGUCAAGUUCGAAUAUGGGUCAUCUGGGGUCAAAAUUUAGGUCACAGAGCCCACAACUGUUUAGACCGUUUUACAGGUGAGCGAUCUAGGGCUAUCAUGGCCCUCUUAUUUGGGAUUGGAGUUAUACUACAAUUUAGCUACACAUGCAAUGCCCAAUACUAGUAUGAUGUUUGUAUUAUAAGUGCCCAAUUGCAUAAUUUCUACUAAAUCUAAAGAUGUCUUGAGAAGUCAUUUUGUGUUAUUGUAAACUAAAGAAAACAUUUGAAAGUAUUUUGCUUAAUUGAAGUGUAUUUAGUUUUAAUGACCUUCUUAUGUAUCUAUAUAGAACACACAAGGCAAUUUCUUCCGCUAAACAAAAAAUACUUCAUUCAUGUCUGAUUAUAACCAGAUAUAAGUGAUAUAUAAUAAUGUGUAAAUCUACACUUAAGUAGCACACCCCUAAUGUGCACCAUUUCAAACUAUGAUCAGCUUGAUAACUUCUUAAUGUGUAUCAUUUCCUGGAUUCAAAAACAAAAUUUAAAAGAAAUUUACUGUCAAAAAACAAUUUUAUUUAAAUUUCAAUUACCCUACCUAAAAAUCCUUUAUUUCAUUUUUUCAACAUUUUGGUAAGAAUUUGGUAUCAGAGUGACAAGAAAUAUAUUUGAUUUCAGAAAUGAUACAUUAUUGAUCACAUCACCCCAACAAACAUAAUCAUACUGAAAUAGCCAUAUGGUAUUUCAAUUUUAUCAUACUGUUUUGACCGUGUAAAAUAGAACAUUGACGUUGAAAAGCAAAAUCAAAAAGUUCUUGAAAUACUCAUGACCUGUUCUUUAUUAAUGAUUAUCUUUAAUCUUUCGGGAACAUUAUGCCAAAAAAUCAAUAUGUUUUACCAUCUCAUUUAAAAAAAAAAGGUUUGUAAUUUCCAACCACCUAUUUCAGCCGGCCUGCAAGUUAUUAAAUCUUCAUAAAAGCUAAUAUUUAUGUGUAGAAAUGUAUUUAAUUGCCUUUUAAUGAAACCACAAUAUUAACUUCUGUAAAAAAUGUGUGCUAAUGAAAACAAAGAAGAAGAAAAAAAGUAUUUGUGCUUCUGGCUGGAUUCGAACCACUGCCUUGAUACCCUUAAAAGAUGUGUAGUCCUGUGCUUAACAACAUAGGCAUUAGAAUUGAAGAGUUUCAAGUGGAGUUUUUCAUUAGGGGUGUGCUACCUUAAAAUAAAAGUCAUAUCUGAUUAAAAUUGUAUUUCUGUGACAUCGCUUAAAUGCAAAGUGACUGUUGGUUGGUUUAGGCACUACAGUUGUAGCAACCUUAUUUGUUUACUAAUAAAUUGUACUGAAAUAUGUUUCUUGAGCCAGGAUUGUUUGUAUCAAAAUUUGUUAUUAUAUUGAAAUCAUAUAUUCAUGUUCAUAUACUAUUUCUUGUCAACAAACAUGGAGUUGGUUAGCCAUUUGUGGGUUUAAUUAUAUUCAGAAAAUUUCUCUAGUGUUGUAAUUGUAACUUGAAAAUGUAUUUAAUUAUUAAGAAAAUAGUGGUGAAAAUUAUGGUGUUCACAAAUGACAUCCAUAAUUUACCAGAUACAUUAAUAUUUACCAGAGAAAUAGAUUUAAGCUCGACCUUCGACUUUUGUCCAGCACUUGUAAGCUCUGCUCUUAUUUUAUAUAAUUGGUCACAUGAACACCACCUGCACUUCCCUUUUUUAUAAGAAAAUUUAGUGUCUUUUUCCAGCCGUUCUUGACCAUGCAUGUAAGGUUUAUCAGUUACAUGUGUUUUAUCUUGGUUCAUGUCAUUUAGGGCAAUUUUACAUUUGUUUUAAAAUGUUAUUUCGUUGUGGUCAGAUAAAUAUUGUUUGUAUGUUUACGAUAAUAUAAGUUACGGGUUUCUUAGUAGGUGACCGGAUGUGGGAUAUAUGGGGAGACAAUAUCAGGUGAGAGCGAAGCUCGAACCCGAAUAUGGUUUCCUGCGCCCGGUAUAUCCCAUAUCGGGUCACCUACUAACCACGUAACGUAAAUAUCACGUCGACAACUUCAUUUCUUCAUCGGAAUCGGGAAAUAGACGUCAUUUUGGGUACCAUAUAAAAUUAGUGACCCAAUAUGAUAAAAUUAUUGGGUCAUUGCGUGACCAAUGGCGUUGCGUCAUUCAUGUUGGAGGCGUGAUAUACUCAUAUAGAUUGAUGUUAAGUAACUUUAAAUCCUUGGGAAUCUAAAUUAAUAAAACCUUGUAUUAUUGUAAGGUUGCUAGAUAUGAGACAACAGUUAAACACAACAACUGGUUUAGUUAAAUGUUUUAUACAUGUUUCACUACGAGGAUAGAAAAAAUGAAAAGUUGUGGGUGUAACAAAAAAAAAUUGAUAGCAUAUUGAUAGUACCCAUUUGUACCGAUUUCAUUCACAUGAACGUUGGAAUAUCCUA